ACGUAGGGUGCGAGCGUUAAUCGGAAUUACUGGGCGUAAAGCGUGCGCAGGCGGUUUUGUAAGACAGACGUGAAAUCCCCGGGCUUAACCUGGGAACUGCGUUUGUGACUGCAAGGCUAGAGUGUAGCAGAGGGGGGUAGAAUUCCACGUGUAGCAGUGAAAUGCGUAGAUAUGUGGAGGAAUACCGAUGGCGAAGGCAGCCCCCUGGGCUAACACUGACGCUCAUGCACGAAAGCGUGGGGAGCAAACAGGAUUAGAUACCCUGGUAGUCCACGCCCUAAACGAUGUCAACUAGGUGUUGGGGAAGGAGACUUCUUUAGUACCGCAGCUAACGCGAUAAGUUGACCGCCUGGGGAGUACGGUCGCAAGAUUA
rnacentral:rRNA from 1 species